rnacentral:rRNA from 1 species
UACGUUCCCGGGCCUUGUACACACCACCCGUCAAGUCACGAAAGUCGGUAACACCCGAAGCCGGUGGCCCAACCCUUGUGGAGGAAGCCGUCGAAGGUGGGACUGGCGAUUGGGACU